UUAAAUUGAAGAGUUUGAUCAUGGCUCAGAUUGAACGCUGGCGGCAGGCCUAACACAUGCAAGUCGAGCGGAAACGACACUAACAAUC
rnacentral:rRNA from 1 species